rnacentral:rRNA from 1 species
AUUGAACGCUGGCGGCAGGCCUAACACAUGCAAGUCGAGCGCUCGGCGGACGGGUGAGUAAUGUAUGGGGACUGCCCGCUAGAGGGGGAUAACUACUGGAAACGGUAGCUAAUACCGCAUACUAUCGGAUAACCCAUAUGGGAGUAGCUAGUAGGUGAGGGAAGGGCUCACCUAGGCGACGCUCCCUAGCUGGUCUGAGAGGAUGAUCAGCCACUCGGGGACUGAGAUACGGCCUAGACUCCUACGGAGGAAGCAGUGGGGAAUAUUGCACAAUGGGCGCAAGCCGGAUGCAGCCAUGCCGCGUGUAUGAAGAAGUCCCUAGGGUUGUAAAGUACUUUCAGUCGGGAGGCGUUACCGACAGAAGAAGCACCGGCUAACUCCGUGCCAGCAGCCGCGGUAAUAC